rnacentral:sRNA from 1 species
UAUCCCUCGCUGCUAAGCUAUCCCUCACUACUAAGCUAUCCCUCGCUGCUAAGCUAUCCCUCGCUGCUAAGCUAUCCCUCGCUGCUAAGCUAUCGCCGCUGUCAACCAAUCUAUUGCUGCAAGCUAUCCCUCGCUGCUAAGCUAUCCCUCGCUGCUAAGCUAUCGCCGCUGCCAACCUAUCUAUUGCUGCAAGCUAUCCCUCGCUGCUAAGCUAUCGCCGCUGCCAACCUAUCUAUUGCUGCAAGCUAUCCCUCGCUGCUAAGCUAUCCCUCGCUGCUAAGCUAUCCCUCACUGCUAAGCUAUCCCUCGCUGCUAAGCUAUCCCUCACUACUAAGCUAUCUAUCACUGCUAAUCUAUCGCUGCUAAUCUAUCGCUGCUAAUCUAUCGCUGCCAACCUAUCUACCGCGGCGAAUCUAUCUAUUGCUGCCAACCAACCUACCACUGCCAACCUAUCUAUCGCUGCCAAUCUAUCGCUGCCAAUCUAUCGCUGCCAACCUAUCUACUGCAGUGAAUCUAUCUAUCACUAUCAUUACUAGUUCAAAAUAGAACUAGAGCAUAAAUACACUAAACUUCUUUUGAUAGAUAAUGAUUUUUGGUAAUGCUCAUAGCAUUAUAUCAUCUAUAUAGGGUAAAUCAUGGUCCCAUUUGGUCCCAUUUUAACAAAAUGGGACCAAAUGGGACCAGAAUCAGUAAUUUAUAAGAAGAACAUGACCUGGGACUAGAUUUAUAAUAUAAACAGUGUAAAGUGACUAAUUUAAUAAACACUAUAUGGGAUCAGGACUAAGAAAUUUGAUAAUGGAACUGGAGAAAUAUUUAGUCCCAGUUCCAUGCAUGGUCACACAGCC